UUUGGACCAGGAUUAGAUACCCUGUUACUUCUAUUAAAAAUUUUUGGAUUAGUAAUAUUUUUGAAAAUUAACGGAUUUGGCGGCAAGAUAGACUAUUUAGAGGAACCUGCCCUGUAAGCGAUGAUCCACGGGUAACUUUACUCUUUUUGGUAAUCAGUUUGUAUACCGCUGUUGUCAGUCAGUUUUAUUAGGAAACUUUCAAUAAUGGUAAGUCCAUUGACUUCAAGUAAAGGUGCAGCUAAUAGAAGAGAUAGAGGUGGGUUACAAUUAUUAGAUUAAGUACGAAUUAUAAUUUGCAAAUGUUAUAUAAAGGUGGAUUUAAUUGUAAAACUUAUGAAGGUUUGAUACAAGCACUAACUUGUGUACACACCGCCCGUCGCUCUCCUUUAUAGA
rnacentral:rRNA from 1 species